AUGGGCGGAAGCCGGCGGUCUCUCAUUUGCGGGUCUUUGGCUGCCUUGUGUUCGCCAAGGAGCUUGGCCACAUCGGCAAGCUCGACGACAGGAGCACUCCGGGAGUCUUCAUCGGCUACGCGGAGGGCUCAAAGGCCUACCGCAUCCUCGACCCAAAGACACAACGUGUGCGCACAGCGCGAGACGUCGUGUUCAACGAAGGGCGAGGGUGGCAAUGGGACAAGGCGGUGGACGACGGCUCGACGCCGACGUAUGACGACUUCAUUGUCGAGUACGCUCACUUCAAGGAAGCUGGGGGAGCAAGCAGCUCCUCUUCACCGGGCACGUCUACCCUGGCCCCCAAAACUACAUCGACUCCGGCGCCUCCUGGCCCCCAAAACUACAUCGACUCCGGCGCCUGCUACACCGACGACACCACAACCGGCGACGCCGCAUACUCCAGCCCCGGCGGUCGCCACUCCGGGCUCGUCUUCAUCAGCACCAGCUCACGCAGAGCACAACCCGAUGAAGUUCGCUUCCCCGCUCACUCACGACGAGGAGCGGGUCGACGCAUGGUAUGGAGGCGAACCGCUGCGGUACCGUACGAUGGAUAAUGUGCUCGGCGACCAGCCGGUGCCAGGACUGGUGCCACGUGACCUGGAGGCGCAGCUACAGCUCGUGUGUGAAGACGGCGAACCACGGUCCUUUGCAGAGGCCGAGAGAGACGCGGCAUGGCGCGCCGCGAUGAAGUUGGAGAUGGAUGCGGUCAAGCAAAACCGCACCUGGGAGCUUGCUGAUCUCCCUCGAGGUCACCGCGCAAUCACCCUUAAGUGGGUGUUCAAGCUGAAGAGGGAUGGAGCCGGCGCCAUCAUCAAGCACAAGGCUCGUUUGGUGGCCCGAGGCUUCUUGCAGCAGGAAGGAGUCGACUUCGACGACGCUUUCGCUCCCGUGGCACGGAUGGAGUCCGUGCGACUUCUCCUUGCGCUGGCUGCCCAGGAGGGCUGGCGUGUCCACCACAUGGACGUUAAGUCGGCAUUCCUCAAUGGCGACUUGAAGGAGGAAGUCUACGUGCAUCAGCCACCGGGGUUUACGAUUCCCGGCCAGGAGGGCAAGGUGCUCCGCCUGCGCAAGGCUCUCUAUGGCCUGCGGCAGGCACCCAGGGCGUGGAACGCCAAGCUGGACUCCACGCUGAAGAAGAUGGGUUUCGAGCAGAGCCCGCAUGAGGCUGCCGUCUACCGACGGGGGAGUGGAGGAAAUGCCCUGCUGGUGGGCGUCUACGUUGACGACCUGGUGAUCACCGGCACCAAAGAUGCAGAGGUGGCGGCGUUCAAGGAAGACAUGAAGGCCAUGUUCCAGAUGAGUGACCUGGGGCUCCUCUCCUAUCUAGGGAUUGAGGUGCACCAGGACCACUCCGGGAUCGCGCUUCGACAGUCCGCCUACGCCAAGCGCAUCGUUGAGCUAGCUGGGCUCACCGACUGCCAUCCAGCUCUCACUCCGAUGGAGGAGAGGCUGAAACUAAGUCGCGACAGCACGACGGAGGAACGACCAACGUCGGAACACCAGCAGGCAGUGAAGAGGAUCGUCCGCUACAUAGCAGGGACCCUCGACCACGGCCUCCAUUACCCUAGGUGCCCUGGGGCGGCACACUUCGUCGGGUACAGCGACAGCGACCACGCCGGCGACAUCGACACCAGCAAGAGCACGAGCGGGAUCCUCCUCUUCCUCGGCAAGUGUCUCGUGAGCUGGCAAUCAGUCAAGCAGCAGGUGGUGGCCCUGUCCAGCUGUGAGGCUGAGUACAUAGCGGUCUCCACCGCCUGUACUCAGGCGCUCUGGCUUGCUCGACUGCUUGGUGAUCUUCUCGUUCAAGACACCAGAACGGUGCAGCUCCUGGUGGACAGCAAGUCCGCCCUGGCCCUGGCAAAGAACCCCGUGUUCCACGAACGGAGCAAGCACAUCCGACUGAGGUAUCACUUCAUCCGCAGCUGUGUGGAAGAAGGGAGCAUCGAGGCGAGCUACAUCAACACCAAGGAUCAGCUCGCAGACCUGCUCACCAAGCCCCUUGGGAGGGUCAAGUUCCUCGAACUUUGCUCCAGGAUUGGGAUGAUUCAACUCUCCCACAAGACGACGUACAAGACUUAG
rnacentral:rRNA from 1 species